GUAGGGUUGAAAUCCAAGGUCACUGUGAUGAACAAUGUGCCUGGGACCAAGAGUAUAAGAGGAUUAGUCUUAAAGACCUUAGAGCAGAGAAGAGUCGGGCUGCUGUGAGAGUCGAAGAGAGGGAGUGUGGGAGAAUAGCCAGGAUCACACAGAUUUCGAACAAGAGAUAUGCUUCAUUUUUCUUGGAGAAACCAUAUGCAGGGUUGCUAUGGAAAUGGGAAGCAGCACCUCUCAGAGCCAAUGUAGCCAUUGACCUCCUGUUAAGCAAUUACCUCAGCAACAACCUUGUUUCUAAAUAAAGUCAAACUCUGAGGACCUAAGAAGUGCAAGAACUCUUGUGGAUAUUGUGGGGAUACCAAUAUUUUGGUUACAUGUUAUGACUUUACCACACCGAAGCCAUGAUUUGGGGCAUGCAGUUGGCUCACUACAACUCUCCCUGUGUUCAUUAGUUGUACUGCAUUAUGGAAGAUUUAGAAAGAGAUUUAUUGAAAUUUAAAGGAUUUUAUUUUCAGCAUAAAGCAUUUGAUACUGGCUUUUUAGAAAAUUUAGAUGAUUUUGAAAUUAGAGAUGAUGAUGUCUUCAUAGUCACAUACCCCAAAUCUGGUAAGUUCAGUAUUCCAAUAGCUAAUCUAAGAUAUAAAAUAGAAAUACUUCUAUAAUAUGAGAAGUUAGUUUUUUCACUAGCAUUACAUAUGGCCAGAUAGCGUUAAUCCUUUGGACAUACAAAACUCAUUAUUCAAUAUCUGUGAAAUAAGGUUUUUUACCAUGACGAAGAAGUUAUUUCGGAUUUGGCAUUGGAAUGAGAGAAAUUUUAAAAGUGUUAGACUUAAGAUAACAUCAAACACUGAAUGCUGAGGUGGGAUGAGAAAGAAUAUUUAGCAUUUAGUCAGGUAGUGGGAUAUAUUGAAGAGCAUAAGAAGGAGAAUGUUAACAUACUAAGUAUUAUAUUACAGAAUAAUUCCUAAUCAUUUUUAAUUAUCUCCAGGUCAUAGAAUUGUGUGUUUCAUUAAAGCAGUGUACUAAAUAGGAAUUCAGUGAGGGAAACUCUAAAGGGUUGUCUCUCUCCUUGCCAUUGCCUGCUGUAUUUUUACUUCCUGCCAAAGCAUAUGCUACAGGGCCUGGUGCCUCCAUGCUUUCCUUGAGCCUGCUUUUCCUGCUGGUGACCCAACAUGACUAAAGCCUGAUUUCAAUUCCAUUUUCUACUCUCUUUAGCGUCUCUCAGGUGGCCCAGUUUUAUGUCAUGUGUUGUACUCUGCAGAGACAUUCUGUCUGCACUAACCCCUGCCUCUCGAUGAGUAUGACAGCUCACCACAGUAGUCCAAUUCCAAUGCCGUAGCUUCCUGGUCACUUUGAAAGAGGUGCUCAAAUGGUGACACCUUCAACUUUUUAACAAUAAGGUAUCUGAACCAUAGAAACCUAUCACCAUUUACAUGAUCACAUAUAUUGCAAAUAGUCUUUGCAUAUGCAAAACAAUAAUUCUUAACAAAAAAGAGUCAUGUGCUUUGAGAGGCAUUUAAGUGUUCAAAUAAAUGAACAGGGCAUAUUUCUAUAUUAUAAGAUUUUACAGCAAUAGAAUACAAGAUGUGAGUACUUAAAAAUAUUUAUGAUGCUUUAGCUGACUUUGAUCCAACACAGCUGCUCUAGGGAAUCUCUAAAAGCAUGUUGCUGCCUCAGGCACUUAGCACACCCUGUUACUCUUCCGGAAAAGCUCUUCCCUUAGACAUCUGUAUGGAUUAUUUCCUCCUCUCCUUUGCUUCCUUAUUUUAAUAUUACUGUAUCAGUGAAACCAUUCUGAAUGGCCAUAACUAAAAAUGCGGCCUCACCAGAAAAGUAUUCCAAUGUAUUUGCUGAUUAAUUUUCCCUUCACAAAAUAAUAUUCAUGGCCUUAUCAUGUAUGACAUAUUUUGUACAUUUAAUCUUUACAUUAUGUACAAAGCUAGGAAAACCAGAAGGCAUUUAUAGAAGAAUAUAUGCAUCUUAUCAUAUAUAUAAAUAUAUUAUUUGUAUCUAAUAGGACUCUAUAUCAUAUAUGUUAUAUAUAUUAGCAAUAUAUACGUAUGGGACUUGGUUCACAUAAUUAUGAAGUAUAAGAAUAUGUCCUUAGGAAGCAGGAGACCCAGGAGAGUCGGUGUUGUAAUUCAGACUAAGUCUAAGGGCCUCAGAGCCAGGGAAACAACGGUGUAACUCCCAGGAUGAGGACAAAGCCCUGGGAAUCAGGGGGUUUACUGAUGCAAGUCUCAGGGUUCAGAAGCCCAAAAACAUGGAGCUCCAAUGUCCAAGGGUCAGAGAAGCUGAUGUCCCAGGUCAGGGAGAGAAAGAAUUAGCCCUCCCUCCAUUUUUCUGUUCUAUUUGGUGUCUCAAUGGAUUGCAGGAUUCCUGGCUGCAUUGGUGAGGGAGGUUGUUUGUAUCCUACUCAUUCAAACCCUAAUCUGUUCCUGAAACACCCACACUGAGACAUCCAGACGUAAUGUUUUACAGGCAAUCUAAGCAUCUGUUAGCACACUCAAGUUACAUAUAAUAUUAACCAUCACAUAGACUAACAAGAAUUAGAAAGGUCAAUAUGUCAAGUGUGGAGAGGUGGGAAUCAGGGGGUUUACUGAUGCAAGUCCCAGGGUUCAAAAGCCCAAAAACAUGGAGCUCCAAUGUCCAAGGGUCAGAGAAGCUGAUGUCCCAGGUCAGAAAGAGAAAGAAUUAGCCCUCCUUCCAUUUUUCUGUUCUAUUUGGUGUCUCAAUGGAUUGCAGGAUUCCUGGCUGCAUUGGUGAGGGAGGUUGUUUGUAUCCUACUCAUUCAAACCCUAAUCUGUUCCUGAAACACCCACACUGAGACAUCCAGACGUAAUGUUUUACAGGCAAUCUAAGCAUCUGUUAGCACACUCAAGUUACAUAUAAUAUUAACCAUCACAUAGACUAACAAGAAUUAGAAAGGUCAAUAUGUCAAGUGUGGAGAGGGAGUGGAUUAAGAUCUACAUGCAUUGGCGUAUUACCCAUGGGAGAGGAGACUGAAGCAGCCAUUUUCUGAAGAUCAAUCUGUCAUUACCUGAACAUAUUACGUACGGACACACUAAGUGUCACAGAAAAAAUAUGAAGAUUCAUAACUUUGGAGAGGAGAACUUUAUUUUUUGUGGAGAGUCAGAAGCUCCAGGGAGGAAGCUCAGCCUCUGGUUGAAAUCAGAAAACAAGCACUUUGAAGGAGGGAAGCAUGAGACAGAACUUAUGCUGAACAGAGUGGACAAGAAUACCUGUUCAAUAGAUUUUAGAGGCAGUUAUGAAUAUUCUCCAAGGGGAGAUGCACACAUGUACAAUAAGCAAACAUGCAUGUCACAUACAUUUCAUGUUCACUUUGGGGCUGGAUACAACAUUUAACUGCAUUCCAGUUAGGCCCUAUGCAUUGAAAGGUAAAGCAAGGACACAAAGGCACUCAGUAAUCAGCCUCUAUAAACUGGCCAGAACUGCUCCAUGGGGGUGGUCUCUAGUCAGGAGAAAGUUACUGAAAUCAGUAUCUUGUCCAAUCAAAGGUACAGUUGUGGCAUGUGGAAUAGUGGUUCAGUUAGUCAGCAUAUGGCAGUCAGUGAGCAACAGUUCUGUCAGUAUUGCUUAUCACCAGGCCAGUGUGUGUUUAGCUGCUAGAAAAAAGAAACACCUUGUGGCACCUCAAACCUAGUUCAUACUUUAAAUGUAGGGGUGCAUGAUGGAACCCUUGCCUGGAAUGGCCUUUGGUCUAGUUUAUAAUUUGGUAUCUUUUUACAAGAAAAGAUCCAUUCCAUCAGCCUUAUGAUGUCAUUUUCAACACAAACAAUUGCUCUCCUGAAUAGUUAUCCUAGAGAAUUUCUUAAACAGGUCAAUGCAAAGGAACAAAAUGAGGAUGUGCAUUGCUAAGCUGCUUCAGCUGUGAAGUCCCUGACUGAGAAGGUGGAUAGGUAAAACCCAGGGGUGCGCGAUAUGAAGUAGGAGGCAGCAGCUGAUAGGGGCAGUAGAUCAGAGGUGGCGCAUAAUGGGCCUUAAAAUCAUAGAGAUCAGUGAAAAAAACAUAAGAAAUAAGAUGAUCCAAUUAAGUUGAAAAUUUAAGAACUCACAACAAUACACAUUUCAAAAGAAUCCACGCAAGCAAACAGAUGCACUUUAAAACCAAUUGACUGGUUGCAAGGUAGGCAUAGAUGUAGCAUUUGAGGUAGGAAAUGGGGAAAAAGGAGAUACAAGCAGAUAAAUGAGGGACUGAAAUGAAUCAGUGAUGUUAAUAUGUCAGGAAGUGCAGGGAAAGAUAACGAUCUCUUUACUCAACAUUUGAAAUCCUAACAGGGUAAAAACAAAAAAAUGUAGAAAAAGAGGGAGGGAGAGGGGGAAGGGAAGUGGAAACAGAAGAGGAAGGAGCAGGAGAGGAGGGAGAAGAAAUGCAGCUUCUUUUGCAUGGGGAACACACUCUUCCAGUUCUCCUGGUCUUCAAUAUCUACAGACCUAUGGCCACCUCUAGACACCAUUGACAACCCCUACCCUACUUGUGCUGGUGGCCUUGAAGCUGUGAUAUGUGCUCUAGAAGCAGUAUGUGUUACCUGGGAAAUAAGGAAGGAUGUAAGAAACUCUGCAGAGUUUCAUAUCAAUGAAUUUUCACUGGAAGAUCUGGUCCAGCUAUGACAGCAAGUAGGCACAUGUGGUCACAGUCUUCCCUGGCAACACUGAAGACUACAGCCACCAAUAUUUAGGUAGUAAGAGGAACAGGUAAGGUGCAUCUCACCUGUACCUGCCAUCAAGGGAUGUGUGCUCAACAAUGAUAUUACUCACCAGGGGUGAAUGCAUAGUCUUUAGAAACAAAGGCUAGGAUGGGAAUUGUUAAGAUGCAAUAGGUUUUCUCCUAGCAGAAAUCUGAUAAAUAUCCAACUGGGACUUGUAACAUUUUGGGGGAGUAAAUCAAUACUUUCAACACAUUUUGACUGAAAAUUGCUAUAAAUAUACAAGGAAUGAUUUAAAUCUUAGUCCCAAAUAUUAAGCGUAUAGAAGAGGUAUAAGAAAUCUAAAUGUCCACUCUAAUUGGAAUUAAUCUAAAUGCUUUUCUAAAAUUCCACUUAAAAGUCAAUGGUCAAACUUCGGUUAUUAACUUUUCAUUUCUGUCAACAUAUUGGUGUCAAAAGUCCUUUGUAGGUACUUAAACACUAUUUUCUUAAGCAGCAAUCAUUAGUGAAACAUGGAGAAAGUGGGAAAGUUUCAAGGUUACUUCUUCACUGCAAUUCCUUUUUUCUGUGAGUAUAUUAGCUAAUGCUCUAAAAAUGAGGUUCAGGACAGAACUCUAAAGAUAAGCACAGAAAACAUGGGUUUAGAUGGCAAGGAAAUGUUACGCUUUACAAAAGUAAAUAUUUGGCACUGUGUGGUCACUGUUACAUUGCCAUAGAGAAAUUCUCUGACCUGCCUUGCUUGACUGUGGGUCAUAAGACUCUCAGUUCUAAGGCGGUCCUGCCCACAUUAGGUAGGAAAGAAUGUUACACAGAAGAACAAGAAGAAUCUGGACAGAUUUUGCUGUGUUUCCCUAAUCAUUUUUUAACAUAACAUCAUUAUCUUUUUGCCCAGCCAUACACAGUCUAUACUCUGAUAAACUUAAGCAUAAAAAUGGAUAAUUUCACCUCUACUUUCAUUCUUCAUCCUAAAAGAUCUCAUGCGGUCAUGUUAAAUAAAUUGUUAUGCCUUUUCUCCAGUUAAUCUACAUUUUAGAGUUGAUUUUUUUAACAAAACAGUCAAGGUCCAAGGAGAAAUUUCUGUAUGUGUGAUAUGGCUAGAUGAUAUGAAAGUCAAAAUUGUGUGUAUCUAUAGGGGGGUGGGCUCAUUGUCUGAAAGUAGCAAGAAGAAGGGAAGAAGAAAAAUAUCCACUCUGAGAAUGAAAAUAUCCAUCAAUUGAGAGAGUGAUAAGUGAAGCAUUAAUUUCAGAGGGAAGAGACACAUUUGUUACAGAAAAUUGGAUAAGGACCAGUUUUCCGAAGGGGUUGAAGUUACAGAAUACUUGGUUGAUAAGUGACCAUGGAUUAAAGGGAUUCAGGAGGUGGCAAAGUGUAGAAUAUAAAGUUAAGCUUAGCAAGAGAAUGAAGUUCAGAUUAAAAAUUAAUUGGUCAUUAUUUCUAAGGACAGUAAUAUAGCAUUUCAGGAAUUUGGAGCGAUAGAAUAUAUACUCAGCAAAAUUGUGUCCAGAACUUGGUGGGGGACAAUCGGGGUAGGGUUGAAAUCCAAGGUCACUUGUGAUGAACAAUGUGCCUGGGACCAAGAGUAUAAGAGGAUUAGUCCUAAAGACUUUAAAGCAGAGAAAAGUCGGGCUGCUGUGAGAGUUGAAGACAGGGAGUGUGGGAGAAUAGCCAGGAUCACACAGGUAUGCGACACCUUCUCAGAGCUUGAUGCUGGGUAUAUGUUUGCCUGAAAAAGUUAUUAUUCUAAGAGUGUGCUGAAAUGCCCUCUUGACCCUAGCUGGGAGAAGAUUGGUUUUAUCUCAUUAUGCUGGCUCUAAUAAUUUGAGGAAGACCUGCUAAUGAAUGAUCAAUUAAAAUUCACAACUUUUAAGUGCUGUUAUGUUAACAUAUGAGAGUGAAAAGAUUGAACUCACCAUUUUACUGAAGAAGCUAGAAAAUAGAAAAGGAGAAUGGCAUUAAAUAUGAUAAAAGCUGAAACUAAUAUUUUGAAAACAGAAUAACAAUAGAAUUAACAAUAAGUACAAAUGUUCAUCUCCUUUAUGUUUUUCUGAAAAGAUGAAAGGCCGAAGCUGGCAGGCUAAAUAAAAGGGAAAACACAAGCAAGAAAGAGUAAGCCAUAAGUACUACUGCAUUUAAAUAGGUGAUUAAAUGAAACUACUCUCUUCAAUAUCUGGCUGAUAAAGUGUAAAAUACUGGUGGCAUUAACACUAUUCCUGAGAAAAUACAAAUAAGAAAUAUUGAAUUAAGGAUAGAAAACAAUGAGGAACUUUCAAAAUACUAUGGAGGAUGUUAAAAGGACAUUAUAAAGAGUAUUACUUUCCUAGGGCUACAAAAACUAAGUACCUCAAACUGGAUGCCUAAAACAACAGAAGUUUAUUUUUCUACCAUACUGGAGGCUAGAAUUCUGAAAUCAGUCUUCUAGGGGAGAAUAUUGUCUUUCCUGAAAGUUUUGGUAGCCCAAAGCAGUCCUUAGCUUUAAGCCUCUUCACUGGAAUUUCUCCAACAACUUUACUUAACAUUCUCCCUCUUUGUCAGUCUUCACAUGGGUUCUCUUUUCUGUGUGUGUCUCUGUCUAUAUCUUAUCUCUUCUUGUAAGGACACUAGUUCAUCCUGGGUUAAGGACCUAACCUACUCCACUAUGAACAUGUGCAUGUGCUCACACUCUCUAAACACAUUGUCCCCCUCACCCCUCACCGCUGCAGGACUUGCUAUUCACAGCACAACUUGGACCAAACUCUCAGACCCUUAAAUUUCUUCCACUCUGGAUUAUAUUCUUCCUACUUUGUGCUCAAGGUAGUAGCCUUUCAUAUAAAACUAAUACAAAAUUAGAGUUUUAUGCUAGGAGAGUCAUGUGCAAUUUUAAUAUCUUGCUAAAUAUCAGCUGUUGGAGCAUUAAAGAAGGAAUAAACCUAAUGAACUCAUGUUGGAGGUAAUCCAUGGUGUUGUUAAGAAAACAGUCAGACACUGCAGAUUGUCUGGGCAAGGCAAAAUCUUUACUCCUGAUCAGAAGGGUGAAUAGCAGCAGCCAAAGCACCCAGCCAGCAGUGUGCCCCAAGGAAGUUCUUCACUUUUUUAUCUCUAAUGCACACCUAGGGCUAUGUGUCAUCCCAUCAGUAGGGACUUUGAAUUCACAAUCUUGCUCUUACCUGAUUGGCUAAGGCACAUUGUUGAGGUAAAACAGAGAACAAGAAAGUUAAAAUUGCUAAACAUGCUUAUUUUUGUGUGUGUGUGUAUUGCAAUAAAGUAGAUGAAAGCAAGGUUGUUGUUAUUGUGGAGGUUUUGCUAUGUGCUAAUAAUUAUUUAGAGCUUGAUAUCAGACAGAGUAUUUAUGCCUUUGGCAGAAAAGAUUAGGCCGAGGUCAUCUCCUCCUACAAUUUCCACCUCUCUUGUAUUAGUAUUUUUUACACUUUUCCUCAAAUUAGGUAAGGAGGAGGUGACUUUGGUGUUCUUGUUUUUUUAAUAGUAACAACUUGUUUUCAUAUGAAGGUGGAAAAGGUUGUUUAGUUAAUGCUGUUUCUAUUAAUCUCUGGAUUAGUCUCCUAACACAAGGGAUAAUGCAACAACCCACUAAUAUGAAGACACCAAAUACAAUAAUUAAGGAAGUUAGAACUUAUGUAAUCAACCUCUUUCAUUUUCUUUUUUUUUU